AGCGUACACGGUGGAUGCCCUGGCAGUCAGAGGCGAUGAAGGACGUGCUAAUCUGCGAUAAGCGUCGGUAAGGUGAUAUGAACCGUUAUAACCGGCGAUUUCCGAAUGGGGAAACCCAGUGUGAUUCGUCACACUAUCAUUAACUGAAUCCAUAGGUUAAUGAGGCGAACCGGGGGAACUGAAACAUCUAAGUACCCCGAGGAAAAGAAAUCAACCGAGAUUCCCCCAGUAGCGGCGAGCGAACGGGGAGCAGCCCAGAGCCUGAAUCAGUGUGUGUGUUAGUGGAAGCGUCUGGAAAGGCGCGCGAUACAGGGUGACAGCCCCGUACACAAAAAUGCACAUGCUGUGAGCUCGAUGAGUAGGGCGGGACACGUGGUAUCCUGUCUGAAUAUGGGGGGACCAUCCUCCAAGGCUAAAUACUCCUGACUGACCGAUAGUGAACCAGUACCGUGAGGGAAAGGCGAAAAGAACCCCGGCGAGGGGAGUGAAAAAGAACCUGAAACCGUGUACGUACAAGCAGUGGGAGCACAGAGCAAUCUGUGUGACUGCGUACCUUUUGUAUAAUGGGUCAGCGACUUAUAUUCUGUAGCAAGGUUAACCGAAUAGGGGAGCCGAAGGGAAACCGAGUCUUAACUGGGCGUUAAGUUGCAGGGUAUAGACCCGAAACCCGGUGAUCUAGCCAUGGGCAGGUUGAAGGUUGGGUAACACUAACUGGAGGACCGAACCGACUAAUGUUGAAAAAUUAGCGGAUGACUUGUGGCUGGGGGUGAAAGGCCAAUCAAACCGGGAGAUAGCUGGUUCUCCCCGAAAGCUAUUUAGGUAGCGCCUCGUGAAUUCAUCUCCGGGGGUAGAGCACUGUUUCGGCAAGGGGGUCAUCCCGACUUACCAACCCGAUGCAAACUGCGAAUACCGGAGAAUGUUAUCACGGGAGACACACGGCGGGUGCUAACGUCCGUCGUGAAGAGGGAAACAACCCAGACCGCCAGCUAAGGUCCCAAAGUCAUGGUUAAGUGGGAAACGAUGUGGGAAGGCCCAGACAGCCAGGAUGUUGGCUUAGAAGCAGCCAUCAUUUAAAGAAAGCGUAAUAGCUCACUGGUCGAGUCGGCCUGCGCGGAAGAUGUAACGGGGCUAAACCAUGCACCGAAGCUGCGGCAGCGACGCUUAUGCGUUGUUGGGUAGGGGAGCGUUCUGUAAGCCUGCGAAGGUGUGCUGUGAGGCAUGCUGGAGGUAUCAGAAGUGCGAAUGCUGACAUAAGUAACGAUAAAGCGGGUGAAAAGCCCGCUCGCCGGAAGACCAAGGGUUCCUGUCCAACGUUAAUCGGGGCAGGGUGAGUCGACCCCUAAGGCGAGGCCGAAAGGCGUAGUCGAUGGGAAACAGGUUAAUAUUCCUGUACUUGGUGUUACUGCGAAGGGGGGACGGAGAAGGCUAUGUUGGCCGGGCGACGGUUGUCCCGGUUUAAGCGUGUAGGCUGGUUUUCCAGGCAAAUCCGGAAAAUCAAGGCUGAGGCGUGAUGACGAGGCACUACGGUGCUGAAGCAACAAAUGCCCUGCUUCCAGGAAAAGCCUCUAAGCAUCAGGUAACAUCAAAUCGUACCCCAAACCGACACAGGUGGUCAGGUAGAGAAUACCAAGGCGCUUGAGAGAACUCGGGUGAAGGAACUAGGCAAAAUGGUGCCGUAACUUCGGGAGAAGGCACGCUGAUAUGUAGGUGAAGUCCCUCGCGGAUGGAGCUGAAAUCAGUCGAAGAUACCAGCUGGCUGCAACUGUUUAUUAAAAACACAGCACUGUGCAAACACGAAAGUGGACGUAUACGGUGUGACGCCUGCCCGGUGCCGGAAGGUUAAUUGAUGGGGUCAGCGCAAGCGAAGCUCUUGAUCGAAGCCCCGGUAAACGGCGGCCGUAACUAUAACGGUCCUAAGGUAGCGAAAUUCCUUGUCGGGUAAGUUCCGACCUGCACGAAUGGCGUAAUGAUGGCCAGGCUGUCUCCACCCGAGACUCAGUGAAAUUGAACUCGCUGUGAAGAUGCAGUGUACCCGCGGCAAGACGGAAAGACCCCGUGAACCUUUACUAUAGCUUGACACUGAACAUUGAGCCUUGAUGUGUAGGAUAGGUGGGAGGCUUUGAAGUGUGGACGCCAGUCUGCAUGGAGCCGACCUUGAAAUACCACCCUUUAAUGUUUGAUGUUCUAACGUGGACCCGUGAUCCGGGUUGCGGACAGUGUCUGGUGGGUAGUUUGACUGGGGCGGUCUCCUCCUAAAGAGUAACGGAGGAGCACGAAGGUUGGCUAAUCCUGGUCGGACAUCAGGAGGUUAGUGCAAUGGCAUAAGCCAGCUUGACUGCGAGCGUGACGGCGCGAGCAGGUGCGAAAGCAGGUCAUAGUGAUCCGGUGGUUCUGAAUGGAAGGGCCAUCGCUCAACGGAUAAAAGGUACUCCGGGGAUAACAGGCUGAUACCGCCCAAGAGUUCAUAUCGACGGCGGUGUUUGGCACCUCGAUGUCGGCUCAUCACAUCCUGGGGCUGAAGUAGGUCCCAAGGGUAUGGCUGUUCGCCAUUUAAAGUGGUACGCGAGCUGGGUUUAGAACGUCGUGAGACAGUUCGGUCCCUAUCUGCCGUGGGCGCUGGAGAAUUGAGGGGGGCUGCUCCUAGUACGAGAGGACCGGAGUGGACGCAUCACUGGUGUUCGGGUUGUCAUGCCAAUGGCACUGCCCGGUAGCUAAAUGCGGAAGAGAUAAGUGCUGAAAGCAUCUAAGCACGAAACUUGCCCCGAGAUGAGUUCUCCCUGACUCCUUGA
rnacentral:rRNA from 1 species